AUUUCAGGAAAUAGCAUCUUCUUUCUCUGGUGGAGGGGUUCGAGGCUUUGCGUAUGGUCCAACUUUUGUUCUUGCAAAAAUUUGUUGCACCUUUCGGGUAGAUGGUAAAAUGCAUUUUCACUUUUAUAUGAAGAUGAGAACUCAAAGAGUAGUAAUCAUUUUGAAGAAGAGGUUUACAGCACCGAAUUGGGUCAAGCACAAAGAACCCAGAGAAGUGCAUAUGUUUGUCGAUCUACUUCUUCAGGAAGUAUUUCCAUUUUCAUAAUUUCAUGCUCA